ACAAGUUGCGAAGCACAGCUAAGCAUUAGUAGUAGUUUGGUUCAGCCAUUAUCUAUGUGGUACAUAGAACAGGCUAGAAAUGAACUGAAGUUGAAUCGACUGGCUAGAUUCGAUAGAAUACGGUAUGCCGUCGGUACUUGAAUCUGCACAAAACUGUCACAUCUAGAAAGCCUAAAACCCUGAUAGGGUUACCUGAUACGUGGUGCACCACUAGCAGGUAUGAGCUCAGCGUGUUACGCGACCAUAAGUUAAACUGCACCAUCGCGUGCUAUGCUGAAAAAGCGCUUGAUGGCCACAUGAGCCCAUGAACACCCCAUUUCACACAAGACUUGGUUUUAGCUGGCCAUUCAGCGGAAAAGCGCAGCAUCCUAGAUCCAAGGGUGUUGUCGACUAGUAGCCCGAAGAUGGAAAGCUACAGUAAUCGAAACGUCAGGACGCGAGUUUGCUGAUCAUGAAGCUCUUAACGGAGGAGGUCCCAGAAAUGGUCCAGAGACUAAAGCACGGGAACUCGGGUAGCAGGCUUGUUUGUGUCCGUUGUAGGCUGUAACCCAUCCAUCGUUAAUCGAGCCGCUUCCCAAAGAGUUGUUUUUGGAGCCUUCUGCGAAGUCAACUGCCUGCUUAUCCUGCUAAGCAGGAGCAUUCAGGUUUGGGGAAGAUCCAUUUGGGAGAGGAUGUGGUUUGGCUCGAGCAAUUAAGCCAUGCGCCUUCAAAGAUCGACCCUACCAAGAAUGGGAGGCAACACCAUGUACAAGCUUUAAAUACCGGAGUGACCCCGCUUCCUGCCGUCGGGGCAGUUUGCCAUCACUUGUUGGUUGAAGAAGUGCAUCUAAUCGCUGCCCAUGCAAUUUCAAACCCCGAUGUAUGAAGCUAGUCGCUUUUUUGGUAAGUGGUGCAAAGGUAUAUCGAUGCACUAAACAGCCCGCAGGCAAUGAUCCGUAGUCGCCAGCAAAGUCGAGCCUGACUCGGCCGCGAGCCCAGGGCGGGAGUCGGUCCUGCCUGGUCUCGAAUCGAUGUUUGCCAUCGAUACUUGAUAUGGUGGUAGCUGAUCCUAUGUUUAAAGAAGAUAGCAAGAAAUAACUUACACUCAAAAAGCCUGACUGUUCCUAACUUUGAAGCCGAAGAGGGGAAAGUUCAUGUGAACGGCACUUGCACAUGGGUUAGUCGAUCCUAAGAGACGGGGAAGCUCGUCCGAUCGGCGCGCCAGCGCGAGCUUCGAAAGGGAAUCGGGUUAACAUUCCUGAACCGGGACGUGGCGGCUGACGCAACGUUAGGAGUCCGGAGACGUCGGCGGGGGCCUCGGGAAGAGUUAUCUUUUCUGUAACAGCCUGCCACCUGGAAACCGGCUCAGCCGGAGGUAAGGUCCAGCGGCAGGAAGAGCACCGCACGUCGGUGGUUCCGGUGCGCCCCGGCGGCCCUUGAAAAUCCGGAGGACCGAGUGCGACCACGCCGGUGCGUACUCAUAACCGCAUCAGGUCUCUCAAGGUGAACAGCCUUGGUCGAUGGAACAAUGUAGGCAAGCGGAAGUCGGCAAAAUGGAUCCGUAACUUCGGAAAAGGAUUGGCUCUGAGGCUGGGCACGGGGGUCCCAGUCCGAACCCGUCGGCUGUCGGUGGACUGCUCGAGCUGCCUCCGCGGCGAGAGCGGGUCGCCGCGUGCCGGCCGGGGGACGGACUGGGAACGGCCCCUCGGGGGCCUUCCCGGGCGUCGAACAGCCGACUCAGAACUGGUACGGACAAGGGGAAUCCGACUGUUUAAUUAAAACAAAGCAUUGCGAUGGUCCCUGAGGAUGCUAACGCAAUGUGAUUUCUGCCAGUGCUCUGAAUGUCAAAGUGAAGAAAUUCAACCAAGCGCGGUAAACGCGGGGAGUAACUAUGACUCUCUUAAUCAGCGGGGAAAGAAGACCCGUUGAGCUUGACCUCUAGUCCGACUUUGUGAAAUGACUUGAGAGGUGUAGGAUAAGUGGAGCCCUCGGGCAAAAGUGAAAUACCACUACUUUAACGUUAUUUUCUUACUCCGUGAGGUCGAGGCGGGGCAUUGCCCUCUUUUUGGACCCAAGCCCGCCCAGCGGGCCGAUCCGAGCCGGAGGACAUUGUCAGGUGGGAGUUUGCUGGGGCGGCACAUCUGUUAAAGAUAACGCAGGUGUCCUAAGAUGAGCUCGACAGAAACAGAAAUCUCGUGUGGAACAGAAGGGUAAAAACUCGUUGAUUUGAUUUUCAGUACGAAUACGAACCGUGAAAGCGUGGCCUAACGAUCCUUUAGACCUUCGAAUUUGAAGCUAGAGGUGCAGAAAAGUUACCACAGGAUAACUGGCUUGUGGCAGCAAGCGUUCUGCGACGUUGCUUUUGAUCCUUCGAUGUCGGCUCUUCCUAUCAUUGUGAAGCAGAAUUCACCAAGUGUUGGAUUGUUCACCCACAAUAGGGAACGUAGCUGGAUUAGACCGUCGUGAGACAGGUUAGUUUACCCUUCUGAUGACAGUGUCGCGAUGGUAAUAUCAACCUAGUACGAGAGGAACCGUAUGAGGCAACCCAGCCACCUCGAAUCCGUACUCUCUCAAAUGCAUAUCACCCCUUAUAUUUCACACUAACGGUUGGUUUAGACUGGCCAUUCAAGCCUGAAGAAAAGGCGCUGCCGCUGCGCAAUUGCGCCCGUAAGGAUGGAAAGCUGUAUCGAAACUAUCAGAGUUUCUGAAGCUCUUUGACAGCAGCGCGCCGACAGUCGGGUCAACAAAUGCAACGGGAAACACGGGUCGAAGGCCUUCAGC
rnacentral:rRNA from 1 species